GAUGAACGCUGGCGGCGUGCCUAAUACAUGCAAGUCGAGCGAAGCGGGGACGGGUGAGUAACACGUGGAUAACCUCCUAUAAGACUGGGAUAACUUCGGGAAACCGGAGCUAAACCGGAAACUUAUAGAUGGAUCCGCGCUGCAUUAGCUAGUUGGUAAGGUAACGGCUUACCAAGGCAACGAUGCAUAGCCUACCUGAGAGGGUUUACGGCCCCCCGGGAACUGAGACAAGGUCCAGCCUCCCACGGGAAGCAGCAGUAGGGAAUCUUCCGCUAUGGGCGAAAGCCUGACGGUGCAACACCGCGUGAGUGAUGAAGGUCUUCGGAUCGUAAAACUCUGUUAUUAGGGAAGCGGUACCUAAUCAGAAAGCCACGGCUAACUACGUGCCAGCAGCCGCGGUAAUUC
rnacentral:rRNA from 1 species